GGGGUUGUGGCUCAGUGGUAGAGUGUGUGCUUAACAGGCAUGAAGCCCUGGGUUUAAUCCCCAGCACCACCA
rnacentral:tRNA from 2 species